rnacentral:misc_RNA from 1 species
UCUCGGCUUAUCACCGGCAGUCCCCUUAGAGUGCCCAACUGAAUGCUGGCAACUAAGGACAAGGGUUGCGCUCGUUGCGGGACUUAACCCAACAUCUCACGACACGAGCUGAUGACAGCCAUGCAGCACCUGUCUCACGGUUCCCGAAGGCACCAAUCCAUCUCUGGAAAGUUCCGUGGAUGUCAAGACCAGGUAAGGUUCUUCGCGUUGCAUCGAAUUGAACCACAUCAUCCACCGCUUGUGCGGGCCCCCGUCAAUCCCUUUGAGUUUUAAUCUUGCGACCGUACUCCCCAGGCGGGCAACUUCACGCGUUAGCUGCGUUACUAAGGGAGUUCAUCCCCCAACAACUAGUUGCCAUCGUUUAGGGCGUGGACUAC